rnacentral:rRNA from 1 species
GUAGUCCACGCUGUAAACGAUGAGAACUAGAUGUUGGUCUGCGCGAGCGGAUGAGUAUCGAAGCUAACGCGAUAAGUUCUCCGCCUGGGGAGUACGGCCGCAAGGUUAAAACUCAAAGGAAUUGACGGGGGCCCGCACAAGCGGUGGAGCAUGUGGUUUAAUUCGAUGCAACGCGAAGAACCUUACCUACCCUUGACAUCCGUGGAAUUUUACAGAGAUGUAGAAGUGCCGAAAGGAACUGCGAGACAGGUGCUGCAUGGCUGUCGUCAGCUCGUGUUGUGAGAUGUUGGGUUAAGUCCCGUAACGAGCGCAACCCUUAUCCUUAGUUGCCAACAUGUAAUGGUGGGGACUCUAAGGAGACUGCUGGUGAAGAACCGGA